AUGGCCCACGCGGGUCAAAGUGUAGUAUCUGUUCUUAUCCGCUGAAUAUCUGAUACGAGUUGUAUUCGCAUCUAAAUAAUUAAACUUAUUUUUGCAAGUUGGGGGAAUGCUUAAUGCAUAAUCUUAGUGCAUCGCCUUCACCGCGGGUCGGCCCGGUAUUGCACUAUUUUCGCGAUCGCCCCACGUAUG